rnacentral:rRNA from 1 species
GACGAACGCUGGCGGCGUGCCUAAUACAUGCAAGUAGAACGCUGAAGGAGGAGCUUGCUUCUCUGGAUGAGUUGCGAACGGGUGAGUAACGCGUAGGUAACCUGCCUGGUAGCGGGGGAUAACUAUUGGAAACGAUAGCUAAUACCGCAUAAGAGUAGAUGUCGCAUGACAUUUGCUUAAAAGGUUCAAUUGCAUCACUACCAGAUGGACCUGCGUUGUAUUAGCUAGUUGGUGAGGUAACGGCUCACCAAGGCAACGAUACAUAGCCGACCUGAGAGGGUGAUCGGCCAAACUGGGACUGAGACACGGCCCAGACUACUACGGGAGGCAGCAGUAGGGAAUCUUCGGCAAUGGACGGAAGUCUGAACGAGCAACGCCGCGUGAGUGAAGAAGGGUGUCGGAUCGUAAAGCUCUGUUGUAAGAGAAGAACGAGUGUGAGAGUGGAAAGUUCACACUGUGACGGUAUCUUACCAGAAAGGGACGGCUAACUACGUG